rnacentral:rRNA from 1 species
AGAGUUUGAUCCUGGCUCAGGACGAACGCUGGCGGCGUGCCUAAUACAUGCAAGUCGAGCGAGCGGAACCAACAGAUUUACUUCGGUAAUGACGUUGGGAAAGCGAGCGGCGGAUGGGUGAGUAACACGUGGGGAACCUGCCCCUAAGUCUGGGAUACCAUUUGGAAACAGGUGCUAAUACCGGAUAAUAAAGCAGAUCGCAUGAUCAGCUUUUGAAAGGCGGCGUAAGCUGUCGCUAAGGGAUGGCCCCGCGGUGCAUUAGCUAGUUGGUAAGGUAACGGCUUACCAAGGCGACGAUGCAUAGCCGAGUUGAGAGACUGAUCGGCCACAUUGGGACUGAGACACGGCCCAAACUCCUACGGGAGGCAGCAGUAGGGAAUCUUCCACAAUGGACGCAAGUCUGAUGGAGCAACGCCGCGUGAGUGAAGAAGGUUUUCGGAUCGUAAAGCUCUGUUGUUGGUGAAGAAGGAUAGAGGUAGUAACUGGCCUUUAUUUGACGGUAAUCAACCAGAAAGUCACGGCUAACUACGUGCCAGCAGCCGCGGUAAUACGUAGGUGGCAAGCGUUGUCCGGAUUUAUUGGGCGUAAAGCGAGCGCAGGCGGAAAAAUAAGUCUAAUGUGAAAGCCCUCGGCUUAACCGAGGAACUGCAUCGGAAACUGUUUUUCUUGAGUGCAGAAGAGGAGAGUGGAACUCCAUGUGUAGCGGUGGAAUGCGUAGAUAUAUGGAAGAACACCAGUGGCGAAGGCGGCUCUCUGGUCUGCAACUGACGCUGAAGCUCGAAAGCAUGGGUAGCGAACAGGAUUA